AAAUUGUUAUCAGUCAAGUGAAUAAUUUUUAUUCAUUGAAUGCUAGAAUUAGAUAUAAUAUAUAUAGCAGGAGUGAAUUUGAAUAAACUCUUCACAAGUACCCAACGCUUGGUUAACUAUGAGUGCUUCCACAGAAAUUCCCAAAAUCCAGUACACAAAGAUUUUUAUCAACAAUGAAUUUGUUGAUGCAAUCAAUGGAAAAACUUUCCCUUCCCUGAACCCCGCAACAGGAGAAAAACUUGCUGAUAUUGCAGAAGGUGAAAAGGAUGAUAUUGAUAUUGCUGUAAAGGCAGCCAAACAAGCUUUCUCAAGGAAAUCCGAAUGGAGAAAAUUGGCUCCUUCUGAGAGAGGAAGACUGCUUAAUAAAUUAGCAGAUUUAAUUGAACAACAUACAACUGAAUUAGCUGCUUUGGAAACUUUGGAUAAUGGAAAACCAUUCAAAUGUUCUGUAACCGGAGAUAUUCCUGGAGUGGUAGCGGUCUUUAGAUAUUAUGCUGGAUUAUGUGAUAAAUUUUUCGGGAAAACAUUACCUAUUGAUGGCGAUUUCUUAUGCAUGACUAGAAAAGAACCAAUUGGAGUUGUUGGACAGAUAAUUCCAUGGAACUACCCUUUAAUGAUGGUUGCUUGGAAAUGGGGACCAGCUUUGGCUGCAGGAUGUACACUUGUGCUAAAACCUGCUGAGCAAACACCAUUGACAGCAUUAUAUGUUGCUGCACUUUCAAAGGAAGCUGGAUUUCCAAAAGGUGUUAUAAAUGUUGUACCAGGUUAUGGACCAACAGCUGGUGCCGCUCUAGCCCUUCAUCCGGAUGUUGAAAAAAUUGCUUUCACUGGAUCUACCGAGAUUGGCAAAAAAAUGUUGGCCUAUUCAGCUCAAUCGAAUAUGAAGAAGGUAUCCUUAGAACUUGGAGGAAAGAGUCCUCUUGUUGUAUUUGAUGAUGCAGAUGUUGAUGAAGCAGUAGAGAUAGCUCAUGAUGCACUUUUCUCUAAUCAUGGCCAGAACUGUUGUGCUGGUUCUAGGACAUUUGUGCAGGCUAAAAUCUAUGAUGAGUUUGUUAAAAAAGCAACUGAAGUAGCCAAGAAAAGGAUAGUUGGAGAUCCUUUUAGUGCUGAUACUGAGCAAGGCCCACAGGUAGACAAACCAUCCAUUGAGAAAAUUAUGGACCUUAUCAGUUCUGGAGUUAGCGAAGGAGCUAAGUUACAAACUGGAGGGAAGAGCAUUGGUCAUGUUGGCUAUUUUGUGGAACCUACAGUCUUUUCUGAUGUGAAAGACAAUAUGAGGAUUGCUAAAGAAGAGAUUUUUGGACCUGUACAGUCUAUUUUGAAAUUCGAAACGAUGGAUGAAGUUAUUGAAAGAGCAAACAGUACAGAGUAUGGACUUGCAGCUGGUGUUGUGACAAAAGAUAUAAAUAGAGCUAUUGAAUUUUCUCAAGCUGUGAGGGCUGGCUCAGUUUGGGUUAACACUUAUAAUGCCGUGUCACCCCAAGUUCCAUUUGGUGGUUACAAAAUGUCUGGAAUAGGAAGGGAAUUGUGAGUGUUGAGUUAAUUACUAGGCCCUUGUUUGGUUUAUUGUAAACCUUUUGGAGCUACAGCAAGGAAACUUUUCUGAAAAAUAAAUGUCACUUUCCCAAACGGUGCGGAAAACAUCCCUGCUAUUUAUUUCUCGCACGCAUUUGUGUGCGGGUAAUAUUGGGAUUUUUCCGCACCCAAAUGUUUUAAGAGUAAAUGAAAUUCGUCUGCAUUUGCACCGAAAGCCAACGAUGAGGUAACCAUGGUAACGACAUGCAGAACUACGUCUGCCAUUACUUAUAUGUUAAUAAUUAAUCAAAUCAAAUUUGAUUUGUUUCACAAAAUGGAUAAAUUUAUAUAUUUCAAGCGCUUGUAGAAAAAAUAUUGUUCCUAACUCUUGUGGAAAGUCUUGCCCGCACUCGCAAGUGGUUGACCGAACUAUGCUAAGCAGAGUUCGACAGUUUCGUGCGGGCAAGUAGAUAUCACUUUCCGCACUUGUUAGGAAAAUAACUAUUUUUGGAAUAGUGGCAUGUACCUACUUGCUUUAUUAAUCUUCAUUGGAUUUUCAGGGGACCCGACUCUUUGGAAGGAUACCUGGAGAC